rnacentral:rRNA from 1 species
UGAGCAAUCUGCCCUUCUCAUCGGAAUAAGCGUUGGAAACGACGUCUAAUACCGGAUACGACCUCCGAUGGCAUCAUCUGGAGGUGGAAAGCUACGACGGUCAAGGACGGGCUCGCGGCCUAUCAGCUUGUUGGUGAGGUAACGGCUCACCAAGGCUUCGACGGGUAGCCGGCCUGAGAGGGCGACCGGCCACACUGGGACUGAGAUACGGCCCAGACUCCUACGGGAGGNAG